GAGGUCUUCAUAAAAAAUGGAAGAGAGUGGUUAAUCCAAAUUCUCUGAAACUUUAGGAGUUCCUGGCUCACUCACCUGUCCUUCCUAAAUGUCCCUCAUUGUGACUAUGUUAUUAUAGGAUAUUUGCACUUAAUAACCUUUGAAGGUUUGUGAGAAAUAUAUGUUGUCAAGAAAUAAUGACCAUGAUGCUGAGCCAGACUGGCUAUUCAAUGAACCACAAGGCUGAGUCUCCUCCUGUGGAAAUUUCC